rnacentral:rRNA from 1 species
UCCUUCGGGAGGCAGCAAUGGGGAAUUUUGGACAAUGGGGGCAAGCCUGAUCCCACCCUGCCGGGUGAGUGAUGAAGGCCUUAGGGUUGUAAAACUUUUUUGCUCGGGAAGAUUAUGACGGUUCCUAGUAAAGAAGCUCCGGCUAACUUCGUGCCAGCAGCCGCGGUAAUUCGGAGGGGGCUAGCGUUUUUUGGAAUUUCUGGGCGUAAAGCGCCCGUAGGCGGUUUUUCAAGUCAGGGGUGAAAUCCCCGGGCUUAACUCCGGAACUGCCCUUGAAACUGAUAGAUUAGAGUUUGGGAGAGGCAAGUGGAAUUCCUGAGUGUAGAGGUGAAAUUCGUAGAUUUUGGGUGGAACCCCAGUGGCGAAGGCGGCUUCCUGGACUGAUACUGACGCUGAGGUGCGAAAGCGUGGGGAGCAAACCAGGAUUAGAUACCCUGGUAGUCCCCCCCGUAAACGAUGAAUGGUGAUUUCAGGGCCCUUAACUCUCGGUUCGCGCAUACGCAUAAG